GAGGAGCGCUGGCGGCGUGCUUAACACAUGCAAGUCGAACGAUGAACCCCAGCUUGCUGGGCGUAUGGGUGGCGAACGGGUGAGUGACUCGUAAGUAACCUGCCUUUAACUCUGGGAUGAGCCUGGGUUAGUGGGUCUAAUACCGGCUAGGAGCGCCUCCUGCGGGGUGGGUGUCGGCAUGGUUUGGAGGUCUGGGAUGGACUCGCGGCCUAUCAGCUUGUUGGUGAGGGAACGGCUGACCAAGGCAACGACGGGUAGCCGGCCUGAGAGGGUGACCGGCCACACUGGGACUGAGACACGGCCCAGACUCCUACGGGAGGCAGCAGUGGGGAAUAUUGCACAAUGGGCGAAAGCCUGAUGCAGCGACGCCGCGUGAGGGAUGACGGCCUUCGGGUUGUAAACCUCUUUUAGUAGGGAAGAAGCGAAAGUGACGGUACCUGCAGAAGAAGCACCGGCUAACUACGUG
rnacentral:rRNA from 1 species